CAGUAGCCGCGGGAAUACAGAGGGUGCGAGCGUUAAUCGGAUUUACUGGGCGUAAAGCGUGCGUAGGCGGCUAAUUGAGUCGGAUGUGAAAUCCCCGAGCUUAACUUGGGAAUUGCAUUCGAUACUGGUUAGCUAGAGUGUGGGAGAGGAUGGUAGAAUUCCAGGUGUAGCGGUGAAAUGCGUAGAGAUCUGGAGGAAUACCGAUGGAGAAGGCAGCCAUCUGGCCUAACACUGACGCUGAGGUACGAAAGCAUGGGGAGCAAACAGGAUUAGAUACCCCAGUAGUCCCUGUCUCUUAUAC
rnacentral:rRNA from 1 species